rnacentral:rRNA from 1 species
CAAAGCCACCAGGGAAUUACGAGUUCAUACUUGAAACUCAAAGGACUUGACGGUGCCCCACCCACCUAGAGGAGCCUGUUCUAUAAUCGACGUCCCCCGAUAUACCUUACCGCUUCUAGCCUACCCAGUCUGUAUACCUCCGUCGCAAGCUUACCUUGUGAAUGCCACACAGUAAGCUAAAAGGCUAUCACCCACACGUCAGGUCAAGGUGCAGCUUAUGUAGCGGAAAGCAAUGGGCUACAAUUUCUCUAACAGAACAUACGAAAAACUAUUUGCAACACUUAGUCACGAAGGUGGAUUUAGUAGUAAAAAGAAAUCAGAGCGUUCUUUUUAACCCGGCUCUGGGGCGUGU